rnacentral:hammerhead_ribozyme from 2 species
AAGCGAAACACAGGCAUUCGUGCCUGUGUCUACUGGAUGUCGUGAUCCAGUACUGAUGAGCAGCGAUAG